rnacentral:rRNA from 1 species
AGGGAGCCUGAGAAACGGCUACCACAUCCAAGGAAGGCAGCAGGCGCGCAAAUUACCCAAUCCAGACAUUGGGAGGUAGUGACGAGAAAUACUGGGGGCGCUCAAUGAGUGCCAUCCGGAAUGAACGUAACAUAAAGCAUUCGAUGAGGAUCUACUGGAGGGCAAGUCUGGUGCCAGCAGCCGCGGUAAUUCCAGCUCCAGUAGUGUAUAUCAACAUUGUUGCGCUUGGAACGCUCGUAGUUGGAUUGCAGGGUUCCGAACAGGCGGUCACAAGUGUGGCUGGUUGGUUGUGUGUCUUUUGGCGCACAUUGGGACUCUUGUCGCACCUGGCUCGGGUUCAGCCUUUAUUGGUUGGUUCGAAACUGGGUGGAGUGUGCCUUGAAUAAAGCAUGGUGCUCAAAGCAGGCGUACGCUCGUGUGUAAUAGCAUGGAACGAAUAGUUAUUGACUGGGGUGCGGUGUGUGUGGCUGUCUAGUGCAGUCAUGCAGCUGCGCCCGUGCUCAUCUAGUGUUGGUUGGAGCAACGGUCUCACUGGUUAAAAGGGACAUUUGAGGGCACUAGUACUUUGUGGCGAGAGGUGAAAUUCUUUGACCCACAAAAGACUGACUACUGCGAAAGCAUUUGCCAAGAAUGUUUUCAUUAAUCAAGAACGAAGGUCAGAGGAUCGAAGACGAUCAGAUACCGUCCUAGUUUUGACAGCAAACUAUGCCAGCAUAGAAUAAGUUUAAUCUCCUUGUAAAAGGCAGAAUUUGAUUUGUUCUUAAGGGAAACCUAGCUUUCGGGCUGCUGGGAGAAUAUCGCUGCAAGGCUGAAAUUUAAAGAAAUUGACGGAGAGGCACCACCAGGAGUGGAGCCUGCGGCUUAAUUUGAUUCAACACGGGGAAACUCACCAGGUCCAGACAUGUGUAGGAUUGACGGGUUAUAGAUCUUUCAUGAUUAUGUGAUUGGUGGUGCAUGGCCGUUCUUAGUUGGUGGAGUGAUCUGUCAGGUCUAUUCCGGUAACGAGCGAGACCGCGGUCCUUAUUUUAGUGUGUCUGAUCGUUUGGUCUGGCGGGCUAAUAAGGAGACUAUUGGUGUUUAAACCAGGGGAAGCGUGGCAAUAACAGGUCUGUGAUGCCCUUUGAUGUCCUGGGCUGCACGCGCGCUACAAUGGCAGCAGUAGAGAGUGGCUGGCCAGAGAUGGUUGGCGAAUCUGUGAAUAGCUGUCGUGAUGGGGAUUGAGCCUUGUAAUUGUUGCUCAUGAAAGAGGAAUUCCUCGUAAGCACUAGUCAUCAGCUAGUGUUGAAUACGUCUCUGCCUCUUGUACACACCGCCCGUCGCUACUACCGAUUGAAUUGCGUCCAGAGCUUGUUUGACC